CCCUUGAAAUAUCUCAUGUUAUUGUCCCCGCAUCAGAAGGCAAAGGUUGUGUCUGAAAAUGACACCCUAUAUUCCCUAUAUAGUGCACUACUUUUGACCAGAGCCAUAAAAAACUUUUGUCGAAUGUAGUGCACUACAUAGGGAAUAGGGUGCCAUACAACGGAGUGACUCUACAAAACACAUCCUCUGCUCUAUUGUUACUGGUAGAGUAGAACUGGUACUGGUAGAGUAGAACUGGUACUGGUAGAGUAGAACUGGUACUGUAGAACUGGAAGAGUAGAACUGGUACUGGUAGAGUAGAACUGGUACUGUAGAACUGGAAGAGUAGAACUGGUACUGGUAGAGUAGAACUGGAAGAGUAGAACUGGUACUGGUAGAGUAGAACUGGAAGAGUAGAACUGGUACUGGUAGAGUAGAACUGGUACUGGUAGAGUAGAACUGGAAGAGUAGAACUGGUACUGGUAGAGUAGAACUGGUACUGGUAGAGUAGAACUGGUACUGGUAGAGUAGAACUGGUACUGUAAUGUUGGUCUCCUGCCCUCUAACUCAAAUGUGGACCACAAAGCCAGUUCCACUCUUCUCCUCUAAUCAGGGACUGAUUUAGACCUGGGACACCAGGUGGAUGAUUCCCC
rnacentral:lncRNA from 1 species